UACAGGCUUAACACAUGCAAGUCGAGGGGUAGCAGGGUAGCAAUACCGCUGACGACCGGCGCACGGGUGAGUAACACGUAUCCAACCUUCCCAUUACUCGGGGAUAGCCUUUCGAAAGAAAGAUUAAUACCCGAUAGUACUUUUUCGAGGCAUCUCGUAAAAAGUUAAAGAUUUAUUGGUAAUGGAUGGGGAUGCGUUCCAUUAGAUUGUUGGUGAGGUAACGGCUCACCAAGUCUUCGAUGGAUAGGGGUUCUGAGAGGAAGGUCCCCCACAUUGGUACUGAGACACGGACCAAACUCCUACGGGAGGCAGCAGUGAGGAAUAUUGGUCAAUGGGCGAGAGCCUGAACCAGCCAAGUAGCGUGAAGGA
rnacentral:rRNA from 1 species